CCCAAUAUUUAUAGGUCUGGUUACCGAGCCAGAUCCAAUGUUAUUGGAUCCAGCUAGGCAGCUAGACUCAAGGCUAUUGGUAGUCGGACCCAAUAGCAUUGGGUU
rfam:Populus trichocarpa scaffold_19_contig_116, whole genome shotgun sequence.